rnacentral:rRNA from 1 species
AACGGCUAUACCAUGGUGAAUAUCAGUUCUCGUUAGAUCACCGAAGUCAAGCAUCAUUGGGCGCGGUCAGUACUUGGGUGGGUGACCACCUGGGAACACCGCGUGCCGUU